AGCUCUAAUAGCGUAUACUAAAGUUGUUGUGGUUAAAAAGCUCGUAGUUGGAUCUCAGUUCUAGUCAGACGGUCCACUUGCCAGUGGUUACUGUCUGGCUGAACACUUUAUCGAGUUGUCCUACGGUAUUCUUAAUCGAGUGUCGUAGGCGAUCGAUACGUAUACUUUGAAAAAAUUAGAGUGCUCAAAGCAGGCUUUAAAAGCUUGAAUAAUGUUGCAUGGAAUAUUGGAAUAGGACCUCGGUUCUAUUUUGUUGGUCUUCGGAAUCUGAGGUAAUGAUUAAGAGGGACAGACGGGGGCAUUCGUAUUGCGACGCUAGAGGUGAAAUUCUUGGACCGUUGCAAGACGAACUAAAGCGAAGGCAUUUGCCAAGAAUGUUUUCA
rnacentral:rRNA from 1 species